UGCAAGUCGAACGGUAACAGGAAGCAGCUUGCUGCUUCGCUGACGAGUGGCGGACGGGUGAGUAAUGUCUGGGGAUCUGCCCGAUGGAGGGGGAUAACCACUGGAAACGGUGGCUAAUACCGCAUAACGUCGCAAGACCAAAGUGGGGGACCUUCGGGCCUCACACCAUCGGAUGAACCCAGAUGGGAUUAGCUAGUAGGUGGGGUAACGGCUCACCUAGGCGACGAUCCCUAGCUGGUCUGAGAGGAUGACCAGCCACACUGGAACUGAGACACGGUCCAGACUCCUACGGGAGGCAGCAGUGGGGAAUAUUGCACAAUGGGCGCAAGCCUGAUGCAGCCAUGCCGCGUGUAUGAAGAAGGCCUUCGGGUUGUAAAGUACUUUCAGCGGGGAGGAAGGGAUGGUGCUUAAUACGCGCCGUCAUUGACGUUACCCGCAGAAGAAGCACCGGCUAACUCCGUGCCAGCAGCCGCGGUAAUACGGAGGGUGCAAGCGUUAAUCGGAAUUACUGGGCGUAAAGCGCACGCAGGCGGUCUGUUAAGUCAGAUGUGAAAUCCCCGGGCUUAACCUGGGAACUGCAUUUGAAACUGGCAGGCUUGAGUCUCGUAGAGGGGGGUAGAAUUCCAGGUGUAGCGGUGAAAUGCGUAGAGAUCUGGAGGAAUACCGGUGGCGAAGGCGGCCCCCUGGACGAAGACUGACGCUCAGGUGCGAAAGCGUGGGGAGCAAACAGGAUUAGAUACCCUGGUAGUCCACGCCGUAAACGAUGUCGACUUGGAGGCUGUUUCCUUGAGAAGUGGCUUCCGGAGCUAACGCGUUAAGUCGACCGCCUGGGGAGUACGGCCGCAAGGUUAAAACUCAAAUGAAUUGACGGGGGCCCGCACAAGCGGUGGAGCAUGUGGUUUAAUUCGAUGCAACGCGAAGAACCUUACCUGGUCUUGACAUCCACGGAAUUCGGCAGAGAUGCCCUAGUGCCUUCGGGAACCGUGAGACAGGUGCUGCAUGGCUGUCGUCAGCUCGUGUUGUGAAAUGUUGGG
rnacentral:rRNA from 1 species